rnacentral:ncRNA from 1 species
CUUCGGGGUUUGGUGUAAUUCCAUACCGGCGGUAAAGUCCGCGAGCAGUUUGCAUGAAUAGGUGUAAUUCCUAUACCGACAGUAAAGUCUGGAUGAGAGAAGGA